rnacentral:misc_RNA from 1 species
CUAAAAGCAGGGAAUGGGAUUGGACGCUAUGUUUAAACCCAGGUUCUCAAGCUAAAAAUUGAAAACUUGAGGGCGAUUUGGGGAUCAAGAUUUGGAUUACUGCUGAAAGAGAGGAUACAUGGGAUGGAGAAAUGCUCGGAAGUAGGUUGCGAAGGGCGGGAUGUUUUUGCCAAUUUGGAUGGGAGAGAAUAGAGAGAAGCUGGGAGGAGAUAUCAGGUGGGUCAGGGUCUACCGGAAGAAGGGCGAUUGAGGAGGAGGAAAUGGGUCUUUUUAGAAAGGGAUGAUCAAGGCGGAGGUGGAGGAGGAUCGAGGACUCACCUGGGUGAAUAAUGGCCGUUGAUUUUCUCAUCUUGAAGAAUCAGAGAGUGGUGAGUGCACCAUUCAUGAAGCCAAGUUCAGAAGCAUUUUGGUGCAUUUGGGUGGACUUUUAAGAUCAGAGAUAGCUAAAAACCAGUUGAAGGUAUAUGAGAUGUUGGUCAGUUCAAAGAAACCUGGAAUGGAAAUGGUAGAGAGUGUGCAGGGCGCAGCUGGCUAUAGAGAAGGAGCGCCAGUUUUGAAUUGGGUUUAUGAUGAUGGGCCUUGCCG